ACUCCAUCAUAUUAUUUUAAACAAAUCCAUCCAAGAAAUCUUCAUUCUUCUUCUCCAAGAUUUCACUUUCCUUUCACCAAAAGCAAAUUUCUCUCUCUCUCUCUCUCUCUCUCUCUCUCUCUCAUUCUCAUUAACGAUUUUUACAAGGGCUGUUCUUGAGUUUUUCCUCCAUUUUUGGAUCCUCAAAUCUUCAAACAUCUUUCAAGUGUUCUUGACUUGAAGCUCCUCAUCUCCACCCUUCCUCCACAAGAAAUCACAAAAGGUAAUCAUUAAAACAGGUAACUAUCAAGCUUUUGAGGAUGGGACGCUAAGGCGUCAGGCAAUUCAUUUUCUCAUUAAACUGUAAUUGAUUUGGAAACAUGUAAUUCAUGAAACCAUGUAACUUUUUCGAUUAUAUUUAUGAUGGUUGUGUUUA